GCCCAGGUGGUGAAAUUGGUAGACACGCUACUUUGAGGGGGUAGUGAACAAUUACGUUCGUGCAAGUUCGAGUCUUGUCCUGGGCACCA
rnacentral:tRNA from 5 species